GGGGCUGUAGCUCAGCUGGGAGAGCGCUUGAAUGGCAUUCAAGAGGUCGAGGGUUCGAUCCCCUUCAGCUCCACCA
rnacentral:tRNA from 3 species